rnacentral:rRNA from 1 species
UACGUAGGGAGCAAGCGUUGUCCGGAAUCAUUAGGCGUAAAGCGCGCGUAGGUGGCCUCAUAAGUCCGCUGUGAAAGUCAAAGGCUCAACCUUUGAAAGCCGGUGGAUACUGUGAGGCUAGAGUACGGAAGAGGCGAGUGGAAUUCCUGGUGUAGCGGUGGAAUGCGCAGAUAUCAGGAGGAACACCAAUAGCGAAGGCAGCUCGCUGGGACGUUACUGACACUGAGGCGCGAAAGCUCGGGGAGCGAACAGG